GCACGCGCCGGGUGGGUUUUGCGGUCCAGGAGGAAAGAGGCACAGCGCCCGGUCUGCUAGGAACGCGUUGGCGGCGCACAGCACCCGAAGCGGAGAGAUGCCGGGCUGCUGGGCGGGGAUCCAGAGGUUCCCAGCGUCGUCUGGGGCGGGCCAUCCCCAGGGCAGCGCGGAGAGGACAGGGUCUGAGGCCUUGUGUCCACCGCUCUGAGCACGUGGGACGAGGCAUGAAAACAAGUCAGCCCUGAACGUGGAGAAUCUGGUGCCUGCCCACAGGAGCAGAGGUCCUGUGUCCCACCUCCCCUCCACCUGCUGAAACGUCACUGGCACCCAGCAGGUCCCCGGCCUGCCGGUGAAAAGCUCCACUGCCCUCCCGCGGUGAGGCUGGCUCCAGCACCAGCUGCUGUACUAUCUCAAGACCUCAGUCCAGCUGCAUCACUGCAGUGCCAGGGCCAGCUCCAGAGAGGCCCAGCAAAAACAAGAUUUUGAAAUUAGCUCAUCAGUUUCCACAAAGAGAUUUCUGCUGAGGCAUUUUAUAGAGACUGUACUGAAUCUAUAAGUCAAAUUGAGGGAGAACUGACAUUUUAACAUUGUACCAAGGGAAAAGACACCGUAACCUAAAAAGGAAAAAGUGAUAAGCCGGGAAGAAAUAUUUGCAACUUAUAUCCCAGGCAAAGGGCCUAACUGCCUCUAUAAAUAAAGAGACCCUAGAACAUAGGAUCAAGACAAACUUCACGGAGGAAGCUAGGAAUGGAUUUCCUCAGAUGCCCACUGUAAAGAUGGCAAAACUGAGGACCUGUGAGGGGAAUGGUUGCACCGGGGUCGCAUGGAGCAUGAGCGUUCAGACCAAGGAGCCCGCGUCCCCUCCAGCCCCACCUAAACUGGUCUUGACUGGCUGACGAGGACAUGGUUCCACCUGCCGAUGCCGGCAGCUGCCCCGGCUGGGCUGGGACACACCCCUGUGACCGCUCUCCUCAUGACGCCCUGGUCUGGUCAGCUCCACGUGAGCCGGGGCCGCGCUGCUCCUUUGCUCUGCUCCCAAGUCUCUGGAACGGUGCCCAGCACACAAAGCCACUUACAUAUGUAUUCAGUCAGUGUGAUGCUCUCAACAGUCCCAGGAGGUAGUGCCGUUCUUUUACAGAUGUGAAGCCUGACACACAAAGAAGCCCUGGGUUGGUGGACGGACUCAUUCACGUAUUCAUGCGUACCGCUCCUUGGCGUGUGCAGGCACCUGCCGUAUAAAUGUGAACCCUGGACACCUUCCUUGACCUCAGAGCUCACAGCCUAACAGGCGGGACAGCAUCUAACCCACAGCUUGCCAGCGGGAGACACAAAGCUACAGCCACUCCCAGCCCAAGGUCUCGCAUAGCUGGGAAGAUAUGUCUGUCUGGCCCCAGCUACACAGCUAGACUGAGGACCAGCUACAGAACUAGAGACGCCUCCAGCCUGAACACUUGGACCAGCUUAGGAGUUACAGCAGCUCCGGUUCUAGAUCCAGGCCGAAAGUGAGGCUCAUCCUCAGUUUCCUCACCCACUGUGGUCCUGGGGCCGGAAUGAGAGGCAGCCACAGAGUGAGAGCUCCUGUACCAGCUCUGGCACCAGAUCCUGUGCCGGUGCCCAGCCCGAGCCAGGUGCAUCUCUAGCUUCUGCCGCUGCAGUGGCUCCGGCGUCCCCGUCAGCAUCAGCUUCAGUACCAGAGCUUCUUCCCUUCCCUUGUGAUGACAGCUUUUUUUUUUUUUUUUUUUUCAAAUGUUUUCUAUUUCGUAUAGUUUAAUGGCUUAUUAGAUUUUAUGUUUUAAAAUUUACAUAGUGAAAAUUUACCUUUUAAUCAUUUUAAAUUAUACAAUUCGAUGGCAUUAAGCAAAUUCAGUAUGCUGUGCACCCAUCCCCAUGAUCUAUUUCUAGAAUGUUUUUAGCACACCAGACAGAGAUCCUGUGUGCAGUACUGCAGAGGCCCGGACUCUGCCAGCACCCAGGCCUGCUCUAGCUCUGAGAGAUCACAGAAGCUCGGUUCCCAAGCCAGGGAUAUUGGCUCUUUCUGUGGGUGCAGAGUGGGGACCCUGGCAGCAGGGAGGGUCCCGAACCCCAUGUCCCCCCACCCGCCUGCCAUCCACUCAUCUCCUGUUUCUAAGCAUUUCCUUCUCCCUGGCCUGUCGCCCCUCCUGAGCACAGCUGGCCUUUCCCCUGCCCUUCCCGGACCAGAGCUAAUGAUCCCUGACAACACCAACCUGUUCUACAAAAUGGGCCCUUCAGGACUUUGUCCUGAAGACGUGGACUUUCACCUUGGGGACGCAGGCCAGGCCUGGAGCUAGGGACUCGAGAUUGCCAAGGGCUCCUUCUAAUCGGUCCCCGGCGCCGACCAGCACAAGGCCACGUCCCCCAGGGUCUUUCUAGUCAGGCAGCUAAGCAUUUACACACCACAGAGUCCCAGACCAGGUGGGCAUCUUCCCCCAAACCUGCCAGCCCAGGCCACCCCAGGAGCCCUGAUUCAUCCUGAAACUCUCCUGCUGCAGCCACAAUGCCCUCCAGCGGGCUGGCCCAGCCUCCCCUUGUCCACGCGCAUCCUUAGGUGUCUUAGAAGCCGAGCUGACGCUUGCCAAGGAGUGUGGGCAGUGGGCAAGGCGUCCUACCCACCUCAGGGCACUGCCCUCCACACGCUUCCUCACAGCUUCCCAAGUCCAGGUCUGAGCCACCUGUGCCCCCAGCGUGGCUCACCACCCAGCCACAGGGACACCAACACGGAGCCCAGAGCCACUCCUUAGUCCUGGUCCUUGGACCAGCUCAGCUGUGUCCUCUCCUUCAACAGGGAUGGUGCCCAUGUGUUCCUCACGCACUCGGUCAGCUUCUCGGACUCUGAAGCAAGAAGAUCAAGGUGAGCAUUUUUCUGGGGUUCCCGUGGACCAGGAUGCGAGGUUCCUGCCUCGCUCUGUUUUCCCUGUAGCUCUCAUCCUCCCCAGCCCCUCCCUCCCUGGUGCCAGAUUUCCCGCUCUGCACCCACAGAAAGAGCCAAGUAUCCCCGGCUCCUGGACAAAGUUUCUAGAAUCCUCCAGAGCUAGAAGCAGGCCUGGGUGCUUGGUAGAGUCUGGGCGUGCGGUGCUCUUGCUGCCCCUGCUGUGCCGGGUCAAAUCCCCAUCAUCCUGGGUCAUCUAACCAGACGUCAGCCUCCAUCCUUCUCAGCUUCCACCACACCCGUGGCCACCUUGUCAGCCUGGAUGUGGACAACAGCAAGAUGUACAUGGCAGCCUGGGGGUGGGUGGGCUGUGCCUGUGUCCCCUCGCUCAGACCUCUCUGAGUGCAGACCUCUCCUGAGGGGCUGCUUAGAAAAGUAGCCAGCUCUGGGUUUCCAGGCAUCAUGUGCCUCCCUGGGAGGAGGCAGACGGCCAGCAUCUGGAGCUCAGCCAGCUCCAAAACCAAUGCAGAGUUAGAGCCAGAGCCAGACACAGAGAUCGAACUGGCAUCAGACUCAAGGAAGAGCUAGUCACAGCACUGGUUCUAACAUCAGUUACAAAGCACCAUGUCCUGCACCAGCUCCAGAGCUAGGAACAGCUCCAACAUCGGCUCCUGCACCACUGCCAGAAGGAGAACUGGCUCCAGUAGGAGCUCUAACACCAACUCCAGAGUUAGAGGCCGCUUUGUCACCGUCUCCUAUGCCAGUUCCAACCAUAGCCAUAUCUCCAUCUCUAGAUCUAGAAGCAGCCCCCAGCAGAUUCCAGAAUUAGAGCAGUGCCAGGUCAGAACAGGAACCAGCACCAGUUUCAGAGGAAGAGUCAGGUCCAGAACCAGCUCUAGCAUCAGUUCGAAGCUGUGCCAGCUCCAGAGCUAAUACCAGUUGCAACAACAGCUUUAGCUCCAACAUCAACUAGAAAAGCUCAAGCACCACCACUACCAGCAACGCCAGAGGGUUGUCGUCAACGGGGGCGCCGCCCCCAGCACCAGCUCUGGAGCUGUAACCUGCGCCAACACCAAUUGCAGAGAUAGAGCCAGACCCAGCUCCAGAACCAGCUGGAGCACCGACACUGCACCUAGAGCCAGCUCUGCCGCCUGCUCCAGAGCUAGGGCUGCUGUAGCCUCCGCGGCCAGAGUCAACGAAUGUGCCAGAUCCAACCCCAGCUCCAGAACCACAGCCAGAUUUGGUGCCACAUCAGUGCCAGCUCAUUGGCAGCAGCUCCAGAAACAGAGCCUUCCCGUCCCUAGUCUGGGAGGGUAUCCUUUUUAUAUUUUUGUAGCUUUUACGUCUUUUUGUUUUUCCGUAUACUGUAUGGUUACC